GGUUUUCUGCGUAAUGUAGCACGGCGGCCACGCCGCGGGGUGGAGCGCAUGUGGCGGUGUCCUUGCCGGAUGCGAAAGGAGGUGCCAGAAACUUUAAACCCCGGCCAGAAGACAACGUGUCCACUUAGACGGCGGAGGAAAUGUGGACAAAGAGACGCCAGGGACGCAUGCACACAGGCGAAAGACUACGUGAGGACAGCAAAAAAGGCCAAGCCAAGGAGAGAGGCCUCGGGAGAAACCAAACCUGCCAACACCUUGACCGUGGACCUCUGGCUUCCAGAAUUAAAAAGUUUGCUGAACCCUAACCGAAGAAUUGAAUCAGUCUUGGGUGGACCUGGUAGAUGAUACUCCAGGAAAGACACUGAAAAAACAUGCAUCAUCCUUUUAUUUCCAAGUUUGCGUAACUUUCUCCAACUGUUUUUAUCUGUGUGCCCUCAACUCUUCCUCACUUAAUGUUUGAGGCAAUUCCCAGGUAUUUAUAUAUGAUGUUGUAAUGUAUAUCUGAGUCUGUUUGCAUUGUAUUUUAAGACAUACAAUACUAAUAAUGAUAGCACUUAUUAUUGUUCAUAAGUAUGAAAACAACCACAGUUAAUUUUCUUUCCAAUUCUAUCGUGCAAUUGGUAGACUUGCCAAAUGUCCCCUGACUUAACGUUUAGAGCUUCCAGGAAUCAGAAAUUUGAUUUUUUUUUUUUUCACCUAGGACAGGAGAGUAGAAAUUUCACAGUUCUCCAGCAUGUCCUCCCAACUUUUUUUCUCACUGACCAAACUCAAAAAGGAGGUAAUGUCUAACUCAGAACUGCUAAGACUACUAUUUUCAGGUUCCACAGUUCUUUAAUCAGAGGUGACUGGUGACUAAUAUACUAGUAGUGCUUGAAGAGUGUGAAAUGACUUGUUCUGAGAUAUUUUCCUGCUGCAACUUCUUUUCUCCUAUCCUUAUGUCAACAAUUUCCCCAAACCCACUCCCACCUCACAACAGUGCCUUCUGAAUGAGCUUAUCUACUUUUACUUUUUUGUGACUAGAUUUGUAAAUUAAAAUUUAAAAAGAGGGUAAAAGAGAAAGCUCGUAUUUGUAUGCCCCUUUUAGAAGAGUGUUGUCCUCCAGAUCUGCAUUCACACUUUCCAAAGAUCUGUCCAUGGCCCCCCUGGACCACCAAACUGAUCAGAGCUGGUCCUUGCAAGGCAGUCAAGGUGCACCCUGCCUCCAUCUCAUGCUCAGUCACUAUCUGAAUCUCCUGAAGGCAGCCUGAGUGGAAUCAAUAAAGCAAAGGAGGUUAGGUGGCUGGAAAAUCUCGUCAAAAGUGAAAGACAUGAGGCCAAAAAAUGUAGGGAGAUAUACUAAGAGAGCAGCAGUCUUUUCGGGGCUCUACUGAUAGAAAAAGCAAUUAAAAAGGCAGACUAAUUGCUAGGAUACCUAGUUCACUCUUUGGCCCAUCACUUAAUUAAAUGAAAAAACUGGGAUGGCGACAAGUUUGAAGUAUUUUGCAGAUGGGGAUUUUUAGAUGAGGAUGAGAAUUUUUUUAAAUUCUCAUCCUCACAAUUUUAAAAUUAUGUUUCUACUCAGAUAUAAGCUAACACUCUCAAGCAACAGUCUUGGGAGCCAAAGAACCACUUGACUCUCCCAACAGUCAUAAAGGUACACCAUGGGAUGGGCUUAUCAUUAUUGAGAGCUUAAAGACCUUUUGUUUCCCCGGUCUAGAGUCACAGCCCCAAUAGUCAUAAUUUUCCUGGCUUACUCACGCUCAUUUUAAGCUGCACAAAGAAACAAAACAUAGGUGUGGAGGAGAACUCUUGCUAAGAUACCAUCACAGCCACAUUAGAGUCUCUGCAUUAUUGCUAUAAGUUUGUUUCCCCCAUUCAUUCACUCUACCAGGUUCCAAAAGGAGGAUUACUUCCCAAGUUACAAAUGUACUUUCUCAAUGCCAUUUUCUUCUUUUAGUUGGUAUUUUUAAUCACUUUACCCCAAAUCCUCCAGAGCCAGGUUGUCUAUACUUUGUUUCAGUUAUCUAUUGCUGUAUCAUAAACUACCCAAAUGUUAGUGGCUUGAAACCAAAACCAUUUAUUUGCUCAUGUUUCUGUGGAUCAGGAAUCCGGGCAGGGCUCAGUGUGGAUGGUUUUCCUCCCUGUCCUGUGAUGUCUGUGAACUCAGCUGGAAUGGCUUAAACAGCUGAGAAGGCCUCACUUAUGGUAUCAGACCUCUAGAGACCUAGGCUUGGAAUUCUCGGAGUGUCAUUUCUUCAUUCUAUUAAUCAACGCAGGUCACAGGCCAGACCAAUUCAAGGGAUGGGGAUACAAAUACCACCUCUUGAUAAGAAAAGGAGCAUUUGCAAACCAACAUAGAAGGCAUAGUUGGCAGCCAGCUUUGGUGACAGUCUACUACAACUUUCAAGAGGUAAUCUGAUAUGCUAAGCACUACUCGUGAGAGAAUGCUAGAAGACUCCUCCACCUUCCACAGAGAAAAAAAUGUCUCAAAUAUAUCUAAUCCAAAGAUUGACUUUUCAUUAGUUUUUGCUAUUGAGUAGGGAGGAGGAGACACCAUAAGCAUUAGGGUAAACGUGAAGGUGAGAAGAGCUGGGUAGACUUUGCAAUGAAAUCAUUUUUAAUGUAUUUUUUUUAAAUCUAGUCUGCUCUUCUGACCUAAGCUUCAGAUGAGCUAUAGUCUACUUUUUAGCUUUAUUUUGUGAAUCAAUCCUUUGAUUAUUUUUAACAUUGUGUCGGCGUUUUCUACAUUACUUUAACUUGCUGGACUCUAGAAGUAAGCAGAAUUAGCAUUUUUUGGUGUCUUGUCCCACCUGUAAGGUAACUUUUCUCUAUAAGAUGGUACAUUUUACUAACACUUUGUAAUUUUUAAAAAUGCUUAAAUGACAAAGGGGAGUCUUGAGUCUUACUGUCUUCAGCAAGGAUACUGGUCACUAGCCCUCUCACUUAAGAAUACCUCUUUGGGGGCUUCCCUGGUGGCGCAGUGGUUGAGAGUCUGCCUGCUAAUGCAGGGGACACCGAUUUGAACCCUGGUCUGGGAGGAUCCCACAUGCUGCGGAGCAACUAAGCCCAUGAACCACAACUACUGAGCCUGCGCAUCUGGAGCCUGUGCUCCGCAGCAAGAAAGGCCGUGAUACUGAGGGGCCCGCGCACUGCAAUGAAGAGUGGCCCCCACUUGCCACAACUAGAGAAAGCCCUCGCACAGAAACGAAGACCCAAUACAGCCUAAAAUAAAAAUAAAUAAAUAAAUAAGAAGACCCCAAGAUCACUAUAUAUAUAUAAAAAAAGAAUACUCCUUUGGCUAAAAGGGUCAAUUCAACAAGAAGAUAUAACAUUUGUAAAUAUUUAUGCACACAACAUAGGAGCACCUAAAUGUACAAAGCAAAUACUAACAUACCUAAUGGGAGAAACAGACAGCAAUACAGUAAUAGUAGGGGACUUUAAUAACCCACAUCAAUAGAGAGAUCACUAAGACAGAAAAUCAAUAAACAUAUGCCUUAAAUGACACAUUAGACAAGGUGGACGUAACAGACAUAUACAAAACAUUCCAUCCAAUAGCAAUAGAACAUACAUUUUUUUCCAAGUGUGCAUGGGACAUUCUCCAGGAUAGACCAUGUGUUAAGCCACAAAAAAGCUUAACAAAUUUAAGAAGACUGAAAUCAUAUCAGGCAUAUUUUCUGACCACAGUGCUAUGAAAGUAGAAAUCAAUUACAAGAAUAAAAUUGGAAAAUUCACAAAUACGUGGCAAUUAAACAAGCUACUGAAAAAAAUCAGUGGGUCCAUAGAGAAAUAAAAAAACCCUUGAGACAAGUGAAAAUGGAAGUAUAACACAUGAAAACCUGUGGGAUGCAGCAAAAGCCGUUCUUAGAAGGAAGUUCAUAGUGAUAAAUGUAUACCUCAUGAAACAAGAAAAUCUCAAAUAAACAAUCUAACUUAAUACCUCAGGGAAUUAGAAAAGAACAAAAAAAGCCCAAAGUUAGUAGAAAGAAGGAAAUAACAAAGGUCAGAGC
rnacentral:lncRNA from 1 species